rnacentral:rRNA from 1 species
CCUACGGGCGGCAGCAGUGAGGAAUAUUGGUCAAUGGACGAGAGUCUGAACCAGCCAAGUAGCGUGAAGGAUGACUGCCCUAUGGGUUGUAAACUUCUUUUAUAUGGGAAUAAAAUGUUCCACGUGUGGGCUUUUGUAUGUACCCUAUGAAUAAGGAUCGGCUAACUCCGUGCCAGCAGCCGCGGUAAUACGGAGGAUCCGAGCGUUAUCCGGAUUUAUUGGGUUUAAAGGGAGCGUAGGUGGAUUGUUAAGUCAGUUGUGAAAGCUUGCGGCUCAACCGUAAAAUUGCAGUUGAAACUGGCAGUCUUGAGUACAGGAGAGGUGGGCGGAAUUCGUGGUGUAGCGGUGAAAUGCUUAGAUAUCACGAAGAACUCCGAUUGCGAAGGCAGCUCACUGGACUGCAACUGACACUGAGGCUCGAAAGUGUGGGUAUCAAACAGGAUUAGAUACCCGAGUAGUC